GGCUGGUCUGAGGGUGGCGAGUUAUCUGAGUUGACCGUUCACAGCCAGUUACAGAUUGAACGCCUCGCUCCACUCUUUCACCCCUUUUCACUACUGUACUUGACUAGUCUUAA
rnacentral:Y_RNA from 1 species